CUCACGCUUGUAAUCCUAGCUACUCAGGAGGCGGAGAUCUGAGGAUUGUAGUAAAAAGCCAUCCCAGGCAGAAAAGUCCCUGUGAGACUCUUAUCACCAAUUGACCAUUCAAAAACUGAUAGUGGAGCUAUGGCUCAAAGUGGUAGAGUGCUAGCCUUGAG